GUUGCGAUUUGCGCAAAUGAUUCUCGAAUGUGCGAUUCCGAAACGCUCCAGCUUUUACUCCGAUCCAGCGGGUCGUCUCUUCCUCGCGUAACGUUCGUCAGCAUUCAUCAUAAUCCGAUAGCAGUCAAUAAACAAAACUAGCGACACACGUUUGUUUUGCCUGCACGUUGCCGAGCGCGCCAACCAAAGUCGACGAAGGUGCUCGCACUUGCGUGUCUCGUUUUCUUCUUCGGCCAGCGUUUUCAUUUUAGCGGGAAGCCGACGAAGAGAGGGAGAACCUCUGCGAUGGCAUUGUUCACAAUGUGUAAUGAAUUGUUAUGGCUACAAUUAAAUAUGAUCAUGCAGCGAGGAGAUAAAGAGGAGUAAUCGAUGUAAUAUAUUUUGAGUCAAUUGAAUGUGUGUGCUUAAUAAGCGAUGUGUAUCAUGCAUAAUAGGAAUGUCGGAGGAUGACACUCAAUGCGUAAAGAGUAAAUUAAUGGUUUGUCAUAUAACACGAAAUGACAAGUUAAAGUAAAGGUUGUCAUUCGAUUGUUGUCAACGAAGAGGAAAAAAAAUUAAAAAAUUGCGCCAGAGUCAAGCAACAUCCAACGUCAGAUGUCAGAUAUGUCUAUGAUGAGAAUAACCCGUAUGAUGAGAGAAUAACCGAAAGUACUUUUUUAAAUUAGAAAAAGAAAUAUAAAUAUUUUUGAUUUUUUUGAUUUUAACUUUUUCCACGAAAAUUUAUUCUUUUUCUGUUUUUGAUGCAAUUGGAGCAAAUGGGAUCAUGUAUGAAGAAGACAAAUAUUAAGUUUAUUCUUUUUCAUUGUACAGAAACUAACUGCAUUGAUUUCAUAUAAAAUUUAUUAACAUU